rnacentral:rRNA from 1 species
GAUUCCUUUUAAUUGUUGUUUGAAAUAUGUGUUGAACAAAACUGUACUAUUGAAAAAAUUGGGUCCUUGAACCAUAUUUCCUCUUUUAGGAGAAGGAUGUCUCCUGAGAUGAUGAAAUAGUGGGAAGAAUUGAAAAUGGUGUUAAUGCUAAGACAAAAUGAACUCCCCGAUGAGGUGUAUUGGAAACUAGACAGUUCAAAAAAGUAUACCACAAAAUCUAUGUAUAGAUGGCUGGAGAGAGACCUUGCUGGUUAAAACUUCAAAUAGAUUUGGGAUGCCCAAUUACCUCUUAAGAUCCAAAUUUUCUUGUGGCAAGUAUGUCAGAAUGCUAUCCUAACUAGAGACAACAUGAAAAGGUUAUGGCCAGGGGACCCUGGCUGCUAUUUUUGUGAUCAGUUGGAAACAUCUUAGCACAUGUUGUUCCCGUGUCCCGUUUCUAGAGUGGUGUUGAGAAUUGUUGGUUCUCUACUAGGAAUUGAAUGUUGCCCCAAUUAUGUUUGGCAAUACUAUACUUGGGUGUAUAGCAUUGUACCUGGCUUUGAUAGAUUGUACACUAUUGGUUUGGCAACUAUAUGUUGGGCCAUUUGGCUGGCUUGGAACCGCGCCACUUUCGAACACAAAUGGAUUAACACUCCAUUUGAGAUUGUGUUUACACCUUUUGCCUUUUUGAUUUAUUGGGUAGGUUUGUAUAAGCCUGAGAUGGGUGAGAUGGUGAAGAGGGGCGCGGAGAUGUUGAAGGAGAAUACCUCCCAGAUGAUGAUGCUAUGCGGUCCGCCGAACCCGACCAUGGGCGGUCACGGCAGAAAGAAAAGCUACCAUAGGUCUCGUAUAUCUCGCUUUUGUUACCAGGACAUCGCUAUGAUUUGGAGAUCUUGCCAGAUGACAAUAGGAGUGCAUUGCCCUUCGUUCCUAUUUAGUCUUUGGGUCAUGUUGGUAGUCUUUUGGUGA